GGACAAUCAAUGUUCAAUACCUUUUAGCUAAGAUUUGAUUACAAAAGCUGGUCGAUAAACAGCAAGGCCGAAUAACAAUUCCUCAAUGGGCAUUCAAGACUUAAGAGGGUCAUCCAGAAAGACAUAUGUAAGAUCAACAUGGCUCAAGUUCGAAACUUGAUAGAUGAUAAGCUUGCCCCUCUAUCCUACUCCACUUAAACACCAGUUUUUUUGUCUACAGGAGGGUCCGAAC
rnacentral:misc_RNA from 1 species